rnacentral:misc_RNA from 1 species
GAUGAAGAACGUAGCGAAAUGCGAUACGUAAUGUGAAUUGCAGAAUUCAGUGAAUCAUCGAGUCUUUGAACGCACAUUGCGCCCCCUGGUAUUCCGGGGGGCAUGCCUGUCCGAGCGUCAUUGCCGCCCUCAAGCACGGCUUGUGUGUUGGGCCUCCGUCCUCCUCCCGGGGGACGGGCCCGAAAGGCAGCGGCGGCACCGCGUCCGGUCCUCGAGCGUAUGGGGCUUCGUCACCCGCUCUUGUAGGCCCGGCCGGCGCUUGCCGACACAUCAAUCUUUUUUCCAGGUUGACCUCGGAUCAGGUAGGGAUACCCGCUGAACUUAAGCAUAUCAUAAGCGGAGGA